UGAAAGAAGUUGGCAUUCGCUAAAAGUUUAUCAACAUAUUUCAUUUUCAGCCAGACGUUUACACGAUAAUCAUGAUCACUUGUAUGAAUGACGUUAGCCAUCUUCGUAUUGAAAGGAAACACCACCGUAACCUUAUCCUUCUGAGGUUAGAUGACACACCGCCCGGUGGCCGCUCCUUCUUGGACAAGUUGAACGAUUAUAUGGUAGUUCCAUCAGGGGAAGAUAUUUUAAAUUUCUUGAACUGGGCUGACGUUGCAUUGAAAUUAUCUAUUCCAUUUACACGUACUCCUACAGUUCGUUUCAACCGGUCCGAUAAAGUCAGUGCAUUUAAACAAAUUGCAGAAUUAAUACAAUAAUAUCCAUGUACAAAUAUGGCCCCAAAAACUCCUUACAAUUUCUAAAAAGUUAUUUUCCGGUUUUAAUUUUUUUUUCACAUUUCUGAUUAUAAUCUUUCGUUGUUAAAGAAUAUUAUGCACCGGUUCCUAUCCUGUGUACGUUCAAUAUUACAAGGGAAAUAUGUUUAAUUCAUUAUAAAUGAAUAUAUGAAAGAAAUUUUAGUGUCAAUGGUAUUUUUUAAUGAUAAUUUAUGUCUGAAGGUGACACUUUAAUGACAAGGGCUAUUACUGGUAACAACUUUAGACAGAAUCAUAUAGACCAUUCACGAAGUCUUUACAAAGAGACUGAAACGCAAAGUAGGACUGUUUUAUUAUACACAUUUGUUGAUGAUUUAUUUGGAGACUUGGAGAUUUAGGGAUUCUUUUUCUCUCUAUUGAUAUUUUAUGGGAACAAUAGCGAUUUGAAUAAUUUUAAUUAUUAUAAUACAUUUUCUAUUCGUCUUCAAAUAAAUGUACCCAAUGUACGUUCCUCACUAUGACAGCUGUAUUCUGUUUUAUGCGCCCACAAAGGUUCGGCGUAUAAAGUUAUUUCCCUGGCUGUCCGUUCAUCCGAUAGUCCGCCCGUCUGCCUGUAAGCCAUUGCGUACCCGCUCUGUAUCUGUAUUUUUUACCGAUUGAAGGGAAUUGUAACUGCAUAGCGGAAGCGUAGAUUUUGGCUUUCUCGGGUCAAGUACAAGGUCACACUCACUAAUCUUCAUGAAAUAAUAUCAUUUUUUGUGUUCCUUCUAAAACUUUUUAGCUGAUGGCUCGAAAUUAAAACUAUUUGGUCGAAAUUUUCAAAACAUUGAAAAAAUGUGUUUCACGCAGUUUUGGGUUUCCUCAGAUCAAUGUCAAGUUCACACUUACAUAUUCGAAAUCCUCAUAUAAUUCAUUAUAAUAUGUAUCAAAGGGAGAAUACUCCGUAUGUAUUAUUUUAUUAUAUUGUUUCCAUCCUUUAUUAACAUAUGAUACUUAUUUGUUUUUUUAUCAUUCUUUUAUUCCUUAAGACUCUGUCUGGUAAGAUGAUUAUUAUUUAAAAUAUUUAACUUGUCUAUGAUUAAAACACAUUUAAUUAGAUUUUCACAGUAAUGUUACAUAAAACUUUUGAAACUUUAAAGAUGUAAAUUAACAAAAUUACAACUAAUUUAAAAUAUGAUACAUAAAGAUAGAUUAAUUUUAAAAGGUAAGUUAUGAAAACUUUCAAAUUGAAUGAAAUAGUGUGAAGCACGCAGUUAUAAUUUUUUUAGCUUACUAGAUACAUGUAUUUGUUAUAAAACAUUGCCUUCUGGACUUAAACAUAAAAUAUGUAAAUAAUGCCCCUGGGAUUAAUAUUGGACAUGUCGCAGGGGUCACUCCCUUAUAGACUUGAACAGGAAAACUUAAAAACUUAUUUAUGUCUUCUUGUCUAAAUUCCACAAUGCACAGAUCGUAGAUAUUGGCAUGCAUCGUUGUUUAAAAGAGCUCUUCAAUAGUCACAAAAUUUAUCACCUUGUGUAAAAAGGCUUUGCCCGGGGACUGGGACCACACGAAUAACAUGUUUGUAGAUUUAUAUAGCAAAAUGUAUUGAAUAUCCUUUCAUAAAUAUUUGCAAUAUUCAGAGCUUAUUUGUGCAUGUAGCAUCAGUGUGUGUUUGUCAAAGUAUUUUGUAAUUCCUAGUUCCAUUUUGAUGAUUAUUGAGAUUAUGAAGUUCUGGCAAACUGUUAUUGGUAUGACUUUUGUAAUACUUCUCGUUUAAAACAAUUAUUAUUGGUUUAAAGUCAGUUUAUAUACUCAAAUAAAACGUAUCAUAUACAUGUGUAAUGAAAUGUACUCUAUUCUAAAUGAACAAAUAUUUUAAUAUUUUAAAGACUUUGAACCUAUUUGCAUUCGAGCACAUAUUGCCUCGCCUGCGUGGUGCUCUUUUUGCUGUAUAUCGCUGACCUUUUUUAAAUUUUAGAUAAAGUAGAUUACCACUGUUUUAGUUGAUCUACUAUGAUUUUGUCUAUAUUUUAUUACUGAUGACUUAUCAUCACCAUUUUGUAUUUUUGAAAGCCAUUUCCGAGACAUUGAAUGAAUUAAAUUUAUAAAAAGCUACAGCUUUAUCAAUAUUGGUAGAUAGCAAUAUAAUAUAUGUGAAUAGGAUGCAAGGAAGGGAAGUAAUAACGUUGUACAAUUAUAACUGUCUAUGAAACGUUGCGUCCCCUUUCUUCAAGUUUUUCAAAACAAUGUUUUAAUUCAAUUAAAAAAAUCACCACAAAUUCGUUUUUAAAAAUAUAAUGUAUACAAAAUGGGACCAUAACAUUUUAAAGCUAAUGUUUAAUUAGUACAAAACAACUUACGAGUUAUACGUUAAAAAGAAGAAUUAUAGAAUUAUAACGCAAACAGUUUUAUUCCACGGAAAUUUGUUGAUUUUGAAACUAAUCAUUUAAGAAUAGGAUAGAAAUAACUGUCAUAUUUAUUUGUCACAAUUAUUUAUGUUACAAACUAUAACUAUAUACUAGAUGUUUACUAUAUGAUAAUCCACAUCCAUGUAAUUCACAAAUAAAUAAAUAAAAUUAAAAAGAACUGUCAUAAA